CUUGAUAUUUAAAACAGUUAAGCAGAGUGUGAACAGCAAUCAUUAGGAAAAUGAUCCAUUGAAUUAAUUGCCAAGGGGGAAAGAGGGAGGUUGAAAAUGAUAUUGAUGGCAAAUGUCUAAGGCAGAAUGGGUAUUUUUAAUUCUGUUUUUCCUUUCCUAUUUCAUGGGUGGUGAGGUUAGUAACUGUGUUGUACAAAACAGUGCUACGAGGAAAUAAAAGCAAGACAGACAAGUUGAAUGUGAAGGUUUUAUAAGUAGGAUUAAGAAGUUUGGAGCUUGUUCUUUCAUAAUAGAGAGUCAUGAAGGGUUUUAAUAAGAGAGAUGACACAAUCUGAACUUUGGAAAUAAAGCUCAGGCAGAAGAGCAGAGGGCAGAAUGGACACAUGGCUGGAGGCUUUCCCAAUAAUUUCAGGAAGAGAUGAGUUGUACCAGGACAGGAAGAGGCCCGGAUUCAUGCUCCCAAACUCUUACAUGUUCACUGUCCUGGGUUCUAAUAGACCAAUGACCACUGUGCUUUGUACUUCACAAAUAUACCUCACUGGUUUUCAUCUUCUCUGUGUGCCACAAGCCCUUAGCACAGUGAUGCGACAUAGUAAGCCUUUAAUGAGUGAACGAAUAAGAGAGAACAUCAAGGAAGAUAUAGCAGAGGUGACAGCACCCCAGAGAUAUUUGAGAUGGAAAAUUGGUGGGUGUUGGUGCUUGAGAGGCAGCAAGGAAUGACUCUGGAUUUUGAUCUAUUGUACAACAUGUGACUAUAUUUAGUAGCAAUGUAUUGUACACUUGAAAAUUGCUGAGAGAGCAGAUUUUAAGUGUUCUAAGCACAAUGACAAAAGCAUGCGAGGUAAUACAUAUAUUAAUAAGCCUGAUUUAGCUAUUCUGCAAGAUAUGCAUAUUUCAAAAAAUUAUGCUGUGUACAUAAUAUAUACAGUUCUUGUCAAUUAAAAAGUGUUUUUAAAGAAGUUACUGCAAAAUCCAAAAAAAGAAAGAAAAUGCCAUAUGAAUUGACAUGACAAUUGGCCAGAUCCCAUUUUAUCAGGCAUAGAAUCAAUUUUAUUAUUCUAGCUGAAUAGGUCCUAUUAAUCAUGAUAGGUAAAAUGGCAGAGAUCUGCUUUUUACUAGCAUGCAGCUGUUAACAUUUGCCACAACUUUUAGACGUUGCAGUUGGUGGGAGGGAACAAGCAAACACUUCUGCUAAGUAAUCUCUUUCUCCUUUUUGGAUAGAGUUAAGACACUGCAUCUACCCAAAACAAAAAAGUUACAAUGGGGUUUGGUUAGCAACAUUUUCCUUUGGCUAGGAUCUUGUGGAAUAAAAGUAACAUUUUUUUUUAACUAGAACAUUCUAUCAUGGCCUCUCUAUUGUUAACUUUAGACUCUGUAGCUGUUCAUUUGUAUCAUCAAGCUCUGAAGAUGACUUGCAGCCCAUCUCCACUUCCAUGGAGGUUUCCUAGGCCCAGGAAAAGGAAGUGUACAGUGGAAUUUUCCAGAGGCUACAUGAUGCAACAGAUUGAAUGCAGAAGCAAGAUAUGAGAAUCCAGCUGUCUUCAUUUGCACUACAUGUUAAAGAGCUUUGCAGAAAUGUGAAACAAUGCCACUUUUCUAAUUUUUUUGUUUUGGAAAAUAAACUUUUGGUAAAAAUA
rnacentral:lncRNA from 1 species